AUUGGGCGUAAGAGCUCGUAGGCGGUUUGUCGCGUCUGCCGUGAAAGUCCGGGGCUCAACUCCGGAUCUGCGGUGGGUACGGGCAGACUAGAGUGAUGUAGGGGAGACUGGAAUUCCUGGUGUAGCGGUGAAAUGCGCAGAUAUCAGGAGGAACACCGAUGGCGAAGGCAGGUCUCUGGGCAUUAACUGACGCUGAGGAGCGAAAGCAUGGGGAGCGAACAGGAUUAGAUACCCUGGUAGUCCAUGCCGUAAACGUUGGGCACUAGGUGUGGGGGACAUUCCACGUUUUCCGCGCCGUAGCUAACGCAUUAAGUGCCCCGCCUGGGGAGUACGGCCGCAAGGCUAAAACUCAAAGGAAUUGACGGGGGCCCGCACAAGCGGCGGAGCAUGCGGAUUAAUUCGAUGCAACGCGAAGAACCUUACCAAGGCUUGACAUGGACCGGUAACACCUGGAAACAGGUGCCCCGCUUGCGGUCGGUUCACAGGUGGUGCAUGGUUGUCGUCAGCUCGUGUCGUGAGAUGUUGGGUUAAGUCCCGCAACGAGCGCAACCCUCGUUCUAUGUUGCCAGCGCGUUAUGGCGGGGACUCAUAGGAGACUGCCGGGGUCAACUCGGAGGAAGGUGGGGACGACGUCAAAUCAUCAUGCCCCUUAUGUCUUGGGCUUCACGCAUGCUACAAUGGCCGGUACAAAGGGUUGCGAUACUGUGAGGUGGAGCUAAUCCCAAAAAGCCGGUCUCAGUUCGGAUUGGGGUCUGCAACUCGACCCCAUGAAGUCGGAGUCGCUAGUAAUCGCAGAUCAGCAACGCUGCGGUGAAUACGUUCCCGGGCCUUGUACACACCGCCCGUCAAGUCACGAAAGUUGGUAACACCCGAAGCCGGUGGCCUAACCCCUUGUGGGAGGGAGCUGUCGAAGUGGGACUGCGAUUGGGA
rnacentral:rRNA from 1 species